CUUCCUCCUUCUCCUCUUAUAGCCGCGGACGGAUGCCUGAUGCGGAAGGGAGAUGGCAGACGCGGUGAGGACGCGGGGAGGAGUCGAUCUUGGCGUGAUCCGGGCGCUGUGAGGAGCUGGAUGCGGUGAUCACGGGCGGAAGCUUCGUGGACGGCUGCUGGGAGGAGCUGGAUGCGGUGAGAUGGACGGCUGCGAGGCGGAGGAGGAGCGAUCUUGGC
rnacentral:lncRNA from 1 species